rnacentral:rRNA from 1 species
UACGGGGGGGGCAAGCGUUGUUCGGAAUUACUGGGCGUAAAGGGUUCGUAGGUGGCUUGCUUAGUCAGACGUGAAAUCCCUCAGCUUAACUGGGGAACUGCGUCUGAUAUGCGAGCUUGAGUGCAGGAGAGGAACGCGGAAUUCCAGGUGUAGCGGUGAAAUGCGUAGAUAGUCUGGAGAACACCGGUGGCGAAGGCGGCGUUCUGGACUGCAACUGACACUGAUGAACGAAAGCCAGGGGAGCAAACGGG